rnacentral:tmRNA from 1 species
UUGGACCCGGGGGCGGUACCCGGCGCCUCCACCAAAGCAUAAGUUAUAUAAAUUAUGUUUUGGCGGGGGCGAAAUUAGGAUCGACAAGGGUGUAAAGAUUGAUCUUUUACUCGGUAUUGUACCACCGUUAUCGGACUAAAUUAAUAGUUGCAAAUGAUAACAACUAUGCGGAGGUUCGUCUUGCUGCUUAACGCGGUAAGUGGACUUCAGAUUUAAGUCUUAAACCGUCGCAGGUUUAAGCGGGGUUGGGAGG